UACCAGCUCUCCGAGUGGUGUGGAUGUUUAUUGGGCCUAAAGCAUCCGUAGCUGGCUGGACAAGUCCCCUGUUAAAUCCACCGAUUUAAUCGUUGGUGUGCGGGGGAUACUGUUCGGCUAGGGGACGGGAGAGGCAGACGGUAUUUUCGGGGUAGGGGUGAAAUCCUAUAAUCCCGGGAAGACCACCAGUGGCGAAGGCUGUCUGCUAGAACGCGCCCGACGGUGAGGGAUGGAAGCUGGGGGGAGCGAACCGGAUUAGAUACCCGGGUAGUCCCAGCUGUAAACGAUGCAGGCUAGGUGUUUGGACGGCCAGGUGCCGUUCUAGUGCCGCAGGGAAGCCGUUAAGCCUGCCGCCUGGGGAGUACGGCCGCAAGGCUGAAACUUAAGGAAUUGGCGGGGGAGCACCACAAGGGUGAAGCUUGCGGUUU
rnacentral:rRNA from 1 species